AGGAAAAGUAUUAAGAAUCAUAAUAUUUGUUUGGCCCCAUCUUUGACCAAUAGUAUUUCACAAAACAUUUGUAAACAUAUUAAUAAUAAUAGUAAAAAUAAUUUAGACCCUUUAAAAAAAGCUGGUGUGGUUUAUAGAAUUGAAUGUGACUGUCAUAAUCCGUGUGUAUAUAUAGGAGAAACCGGGCGUGUACUAGAAACUAGAGUUAAAGAACACGAAGCGGCCAUUCGGCUUAAGUAUAAUAAUUCUCCGUGGUUUAACCACAUCAAUAGUAAUAAUUGUAAUAUUAAUAGAAACAAUGUAAAAAUUUUACAUAUUGAAAAAGAUAUUUAUAAAAGAAAAUUCAAAGAACAUAUAGAAAUUAGAAAACAAAAUAAUAAUAAUUUAAUAAAUCAGUCGAAAGGGAUGGAAAUAAAUUAUAGCUGGUACAAUCUAAUAGAUGGCGCUAGAAUAAAAUAAAAAAUAAAUGGUUAUGUAUUAAGACGUCAUCACUUGAUUACCGUUGUAAAGUGUUGGUGGUCUACUGUGUGACUUUGUAAAGUGUUGAUGGUAUGAAGUUAAAAAUUUGUAGUGCUUUGGAAUUAUUUUUACAAUUGUUUGUCAAUGAAUUUUUAAUAAUUAGUUGGUUUUGGUAUGUUUAUUAUACACGUAUGUGGAAAAAAUUUUUUUAAACUUGAUUCUUACAAAUGUGUACAAAGUUUACCACCCCUACCCAUGGAAAUAUCAUUGUAAUUACCACCAGCGGUUAUUCACUGAAGAGGGACUGGAAAAUAUUAGACCAGCCCGAAAUGCAUUUGAUGUAGUCUUUACAAAAUAAAUUUAAUUUGCCAAUAAGAUUGCUGUGAGAUUUGUCUACCAAGAAUAAUUUUGGAUUAGAGACAAAAAUCGUCAUAUUAACUAAUAUACAGCAAACCAUUUAUAUAUAUUUUAAAUUAACCUAACAAUUAGCAUCAAUUAAAAUUCAAAUCAAUUAAGUUGUUUGUUUGACCCGUCGACGGAGAAUGAUCCCAUCAUCGAUCUCGAAUUUUCCCAUGAUUAAAGCAUGGAGUCAAAGUUCCCCAAAUCUAGCUCUAAAUCUUCAUGUUUCAUAAACAUUUAUGUUCUAAACAUUUUUACUUUAUAGGUAAUUUAUAUGUCUAUUAUAAGAAAGUAUUAUGCAAGUACAUACGUAUUGUGUUAUGUGAAUUAUUCCAUUUAUGGAAAGCCAAAAUUUCGGUCUC